GGCAAGAUGGCCGAGCGGUCUAAGGCGCUGUGUUCAGGUUCUCCCGAUUCGCAGUCCGAAAGGGCGUGGGUUCGAAUCCCACUCUUGUCA